AACCUCCGCAAUGUGAGAAAUCGCGACGGGGGGAUCCCAAGUGCCAUUCUUAACGGGAUGGCUUUUCAUUAGUGUAAAGAGCUUUUGGAAUAAGAGCUGGGCAAGACCGGUGCCAGCCGCCGCGGUAACACCGGCAGCUCUAGUGGUAGCAAUUUUUAUUGGGCCUAAAGCGUCCGUAGCCGGUUUAAUAAGUCUCUGGUGAAAUCCUGCAGCUUAACUGUGGGAAUUGCUGGAGAUACUAUUAGACUUGAGAUCGGGAGAGGUUAGAGGUACUCCCAGGGUAGAGGUGAAAUUCUGUAAUCCUGGGAGGACCGCCUGUUGCGAAGGCGUCUAACUGGAACGAUUCUGACGGUGAGGGACGAAAGUUAGGGGCGCGAACCGGAUUAGAUACCCGGGUAGUCCUAACUGUAAACGAUGCGGACUUGGUGUUGGGAUGGCUUUGAGCUGCUCCAGUGCCGAAGGGAAGCUGUUAAGUCCGCCGCCUGGGAAGUACGGUCGCAAGACUGAAACUUAAAGGAAUU
rnacentral:rRNA from 1 species